UACGUAGGGACCAAGCGUUGUUCGGAUUUACUGGGCGUAAAGGGCGCGUAGGCGGCGUGACAAGUCACUUGUGAAAUCUCCGGGCUUAACUCGGAACGGCCAAGUGAAACUGUCAUGCUAGAGUGCAGAAGGGGCAAUCGGAAUUCUUGGUGUAGCGGUGAAAUGCGUAGAUAUCGAGAGGAACACCUGCGGCGAAGGCGGGUUGCUGGGCUGACACUGACGCUGAUGCGCGAAAGCCAGGGGAGCGAACGGG
rnacentral:rRNA from 1 species